GCGCGAAAACUUUGCAAUGCGGGAAACCGUGACNAAGGGAACUCUGAGUGCCCGUUAAAUCGGGCUGUCCAUCGGUUUAAAUAACCGGUGAAGAAAGGGCCGGGCAAGACCGGUGCCAGCCGCCGCGGUAAUACCGGCGGCUCGAGUGGUGGCCACUAUUACUGGGCUUAAAGCGUUCGUAGCUGGUUUGUUAAGUCUCUGGGGAAAUCUUCCGGCUUAACCGGAAGGCGUUUCAGGGAUACUGGCAGGACUAGGGACCGGGAGAGGUGAGAGGUACUCCAGGGGUAGGAGUGAAAUCCUGUAAUCCUUGGGGGACCACCUGUGGCGAAGGCGUCUCACCAGAACGGCUCCGACAGUGAGGGACGAAAGCUGGGGGAGCAAACCGGAUUAGAAACCCCG
rnacentral:rRNA from 1 species